UACGUAGGGGGCAAGCGUUGUCCGGAAUUAUUGGGCGUAAAGCGCGCGCAGGCGGCUGUUUAAGUCUGGUGUUUAAACCUUGGGCUCAACCUGGGGUCGCACUGGAAACUGGGCAGCUUGAGUACAGAAGAGGAAAGUGGAAUUCCACGUGUAGCGGUGAAAUGCGUAGAUAUGUGGAGGAACACCAGUGGCGAAGGCGACUUUCUGGGCUGUAACUGACGCUGAGGCGCGAAAGCGUGGGGAGCAAACAGG
rnacentral:rRNA from 1 species